rnacentral:misc_RNA from 1 species
GACGAAGAACGCAGCGAAAUGCGACAAGUAAUGUGAAUUGCAGAAUUCAGUGAAUCAUCGAAUCUUUGAACGCACCUUGCGCCCUUUGGCUAUUCCGAAGGGCAUGCCUGUUUGAGUAUCGUGAACACCUCAACUCUCAUGGUUUGCCAUGAUGAGCUUGGACUUUGGGGGUUUUGCUGGCCUUUGGUCGGCUCCUCUCAAACGGAUCAGCUUUCCAGUGUUUGGUGGCGUCACGGGUGUGAUAACUAUCUACGCCUGUGGUUUUCUGCCAGAUAACCUUCAGCGAUGGAGGUUCGCUGGGGCUCAUAAAUGUCUCUCUUCAGUGGAGACAGCUUUUUGGACGUUUGAUCUCAAAUCAGGUAGGACUACCCGCUGAACUUAAGCAUAUCAAUAAGCGGAGGA